AUUGAUUCAGCCCAGUAAAAAUAAAGAGGGUCUCUAGUGGAUGAAACUGAAGUAUAGCAGCCACUGCAUCAUGGAGGAAUUUAGGCUUGACUUUAAUCAUGUUUCCAAGGAUUCACCAUUUAUCCAUGCUUCCCGGUCACUUUUGUCUUUUGGUAAUCUUCUGGGUUGGAAAAAGAACUGGCAGAAAUGGUUGGAACUAUGUCCAGAGUAUUUUGCCAAUUCACGAUUCUCAGAGCAACCCAUGAUCAGGUAGAUUACAGAUACCAUACUGUGAGAAAUAAAUAUUUUGACAGAAGGAAGUGUGAUUUUGGUAUUCCUCUCCCUAUGCAUUUUGUUUCAACAAGAUAGCAAGACUUGAAAUGGAAACUACACCUGAAUUUCUUUUGCUAUUCCCAGUUGCUUUAUUCCUGGCACACGCUCAGUUUACUACAGCAAAAUCUAAGAUUGUUGAAGGUGGUGUUCAUCAGAAAAUGUGCAAGCAAAGGCUCCUGACACCACAGAGCAAUUCUUUUCUUCUAUCCCUACUCGUCUUGGCAAACCUUAAUUCAAUUCCUCAGUCAACCAUCCUGUGUAAUGAGACCUGGGCUGUAACUUUCUAUAUUGAUUUGUGUGAACUCUCUUCCUCUCAGGACUGAUUUGUUCUUUCUCACUACUGCACUCUCUGUUUCUAUUGUUUCCUUGGUCUUUAUGUCUCCCUAUUCUUGUACUGCUCUAUUUUAUUUUUUUUCUCCCAGCUGCUCACUGUGAUAAGAACAGAGACAUUCUUAUUUUUUUUCAUCUGUGAAAAGACCUUUUCUAUUCAAAUGUUUUCUUCAUGCAUAAAUAUAUUUAUACUGCAGUAAAAUUAAAAAGUAGUAGUUCAUGUCUAUGUAUGAUGAGGGAGCCAAUUAAUGUUUCAAUUUUCUUAUGCUAUAUCAGAGAAUUACAGAACAAAUGCUGAAGUAUAUCUGCUGUUGCCCAGCCUGUCCCUAACAGUGUGAGAUUAUUCAGUUCCCAUAUGACUCUUUCAUGUGAAAAUUGGUGAAGUAUGUCCAGUUUUUUUUUCUACCCAGUAUGGCAUUUUAAGUGUAUUUAUUAUUUUUUAAUUUAUUUUGUAUUCUAGAAUGUCUCGCAUUUAUGAA